CAUGCGCAGAGCGGCAGACCACGUUAGUCAACGUCUCCUCCAUUGAAGGACCGAGCGCGAGAAGCGAGCUGACCGUUGGCAAUCAACUGACCGAAGAUUAAUUCAGUGUCAUGACUGAUGCAGUGGAACUAACUAAAAGAGAGAGAGAGAGCAGUUGUUCUCCUUGGCCUGGCCCAUUUCCAGAAAGAGGAUCCCUCCCAAUUCUUCAAGAUUUGUAAGCCAAACGAAGAGAGUGAGGCAGUGAAAGGAAUGAACGUAGGAAUCUUGGUGUUUACAGAGGAGGAUCCUCAACGCCCUGUCCCCAAG